rnacentral:misc_RNA from 1 species
GGACUACAAGGGUUUCUAAUCCUGUUCGCUACCCAUGCUUUCGAGCCUCAGCGUCAGUUACAGACCAGACAGCCGCCUUCGCCACUGGUGUUCUUCCAUAUAUCUACGCAUUUCACCGCUACACAUGGAGUUCCACUGUCCUCUUCUGCACUCAAGUUUCCCAGUUUCCGAUGCGCUUCCUCGGUUAAGCCGAGGGCUUUCACAUCAGACUUAAAAAACCGCCUGCGCUCGCUUUACGCCCAAUAAAUCCGGAUAACGCUUGCCACCUAUGUAUUACCGCGGCGGCUGGCACU